rnacentral:rRNA from 1 species
GGACGAACGCUGGCGGCGUGCUUAACACAUGCAAGUCGAACGAUGAAGCCCUUCGGGGUGGAUUAGUGGCGAACGGGUGAGUAACACGUGGGCAAUCUGCCCUUCACUCUGGGACAAGCCCUGGAAACGGGGUCUAAUACCGGAUAACACCCGCCACCGCAUGGUGGUGGGUUGAAAGCUCCGGCGGUGAAGGAUGAGCCCGCGGCCUAUCAGCUUGUUGGUGAGGUAGUGGCUCACCAAGGCGACGACGGGUAGCCGGCCUGAGAGGGCGACCGGCCACACUGGGACUGAGACACGGCCCAGACUCCUACGGGAGGCAGCAGUGGGGAAUAUUGCACAAUGGGCGAAAGCCUGAUGCAGCGACGCCGCGUGAGGGAUGACGGCCUUCGGGUUGUAAACCUCUUUCAGCAGGGAAGAAGCGAAAGUGACGGUACCUGCAGAAGAAGCGCCGGCUAACUACGU